AGUUGAAGUAUGCGCUAGCUAAACCCCCUUUCUAUUGCCAGCAAUAGAGGUGCCUGUCGGCUGGGAGCAUGAGAAGGAGCCCGUGUUCCAAGUCUUGAUUCCUUAAAUGCGGUCCUAAGAAUCUUUCCCUAUUUGUUUUCACAAUUUCCAGAACCUAUUGGCUUUGGCCAUGACAUCGUGUGUUACCAUUCCCUUUUGAGUGUUUGGACAUGCGAAGCCCCGUGGAAGCGUGCUUAAUGCAGAUGAGAACCUAUUGGCUUUGGCCAUGACAUCGUGUGUUACCAUUCCCUUUUGAGUGUUUGGACAUGCGAAGCCCCGUGGAAGCGUGCUUAAUGCAGAUGAGCCCUCAGGGAACAGGCGCCAGCUCCUGAGGAGAUGAGAGGAACCAGCAAGCCCAGUGGCAAGAGCAAGGGAAUGGCUUCUGGAGGAGCAGCUGAGGAGCGCGGCAGAGCUCUCUGUCCUCCUGCCCUGCAGAGCCAGGGUCAGCAGCCGUAAGAAA